rnacentral:lncRNA from 1 species
AAACUCUCAUAGGGGUUUUGCAUUCGCUAAGCUUCGAGCUUCUGAUAUUUCUAGUUUGUCAUCUUUCAUGCACCGGGUAGGUUCCUCCUUUAUGUGUGCUGGUUCUUCUUCUUUUUGCACCACAUGUUCUUCUGUCUCAUCCUUCUAGAGUUCUUUUCUAAAAAAUUCCAGCAAGUAUAUGUACUUGAUUUCCUUGCUCUCGUGCACCCGAUUGAUAGUUAUCUCAUUCUCUGUUUACGGCUACUCCUCUGUUGAUUUUUUGUUGAAGUUGUGCAGCCUCCCUGAGUGUCUUUUCCA